AACGCCAGAAGGGAAUGGAAAGACUGGUGCGCCGUCGCGUUAGGGCUCCGCGUCCCUUUUCCCCAAACACCCCAACUCCUCACUCCACCUCCCCCCUCGCCAUCUCGGGAAGUCACGCAGAGGCUUGGCGGUCACGCCUCAUUCCUCCCAGGCAGCCAAGUGCUGUGUUCGUGGAGGUUAAUGUUGGGGUGCACGUUGUACGGAUGGGGGAAUGGGCUCAGGGGACGCAAGCGGCGAAUCGAGGAUCCCGCAGCUUGUAAGUGGCCGUAGCGGGAUCUGUCUGCGCCCCCGCACUGCAGUCCAGGACUCCGAGGCCAUGCUGGAGCCCUUUUGUAUCCAGGUCCUUUCCAAUGGAUAAUCUGCAGAAUGAGGAAUCCUUCCUGAUGAUGAAGACUCAACUCUUUCCAAGAGCCAGAUUUGCCUAUUCUGGAUAUUUCAUAUAAAUGGAAUCACAAAAUAGGUGACCAGCUGUGUUCAAGAUUCACCCAGGUUAUAGGAUGUCCUUCAUCCCUUCUUGUGGCCAAAUAAUAUUCCACUGCAUGGACAUAGAGCAUUUGCAUUCAUCGGUUGAUGACCACUACAACUCACUCAUCCAGGACUUUAGCUCCUGGCUCAUUGUCUCUCAUGCUGCCUCUCUCAUCGUUCUCAGUGAUUUCCAUACCCAGGUGGGUGACCCUCGGACCAUCCUUGGCCUCUUGGGUUCCUAGAU